UGUUGCUCUGUCGAACAUGAUUUGCAUGGAUACCCCUGAGGCCAUGCAAAAAGGUCACGCUGAGAAAGGUUGAGACUCUUAGUCAUUCAGAAAGUAGGUUAUUACCCUGUUGCAUAAAAGUCAUAAGGUAUAUUUUAUAUGCCCACCCCAGCUUAGAUAGAUUUAACUGUUUUACUCGUUCUGAGAAAUAAGAACACCCCAAUAUGUAAAACAGCAAACAGUAAGUGAUUUGCCUAAACCCACACAGGAAGUCACCAGUAUGCAAGAAUAGAAUCCAAAGUUCCUGGUUCCCUGUCCUUUGCUAAUCUCACUAAAUAAUUUGUCAAAACACUUCAAAGUCUUUCUUCCAAAGUCAACUGAAAACUUUUCAUGAAAUUCACCUUCUAAAUGAAGACUAUAUUAAAAAGUGUUGCUAGAAAACAAAUAUUGCGAUUUUAUAUUGCAGUGCUACUAUUUGCAAGUGCCAGCCUCUUAAUCUGUGUUUCCAUUCCUUCCGCUCUCUGCCGUACCCUUGGGGCAAGGUAGGGAAGGAGCUAUGUAAAGAGAGAGACCUAGUGAGUCUGUCUUGGACACCAUUCCAUCUGCUCUUCUGUCCCAGUGCCUGGAGACAUCAAAAUAUUAGUCAUGUAGUCAAUGAGCAAGUGAAACAAAAAAGACAUCCCAAAGGAAGAGUCUGCCAAGAAAUGGGAGGAACAGAAGGUCCUAUCAAAAGGUGUCCUGCCAGGGAGAUGACAAGACAGAUAUAAUUUCAACACCAUCCUAAUUUGCUUUGCUGACCAGAAAGAGAAGAUUCAGGCUUUCUCCAUCAACAAAAUCCUCCACAACUGAGAACUUUAUUUUAAAUCCUGUCAACUGAGUUCUCCUCCUACUCCCCAUGUAUGCCUGCAUUUUCCAGAUGCAAAAUAUUAGUUAAAUUUUGAAAAUGUUUUCUAUGGGUUGUGGGGUGACUGUGACAAAAAGGGUACUUGGGAAAUAAAGCUUAUUUUUUUUUUACCUGUAUGAAACUCAUUUACAAAUGUAUUUUUAAAAUUAAAUUAUGCCAUUCUAGAAUUUUUCAAAAGAUUUAAAGUAGUCUAGUGCUGUAGGCUGGAUAUCAAAGUAGUUUCUUAAAGAAUGUCAGACAUUUCUGUUUUUGGAGCUACUUAAAACUAAGAUUUUAGGACACAUAAAACUAGGAUUUCUCCAGGAUUCGAAUGAUCCUAGUGCCUCAGCCUCUGGAGUAGCUGGGACUGCAGGAGUGGGCCACCACAUCCAGCUAAUUUUUCCCUGUGAAUUUUGAAGUAAUUUUAUUAAUAAUGUUACUGGUGGAGAGUCUUGACUAUGAGUCAUCAGGUUCUUGUCAUUUUAAACAAAGAAUUGGACAAUACACAUGAACAAAGCAAUGAAAUAAUGAAGC